rnacentral:tRNA from 1 species
UUGACGAAGUUAGUUUAGGAGCUGUAAACUCUUAGUAAAUUAGUCGUCUGG